AGGAUGAACGCUGGCGGCGUGCCUAAUACAUGCAAGUCGAGCGGUAAGGCCCCUUCGGGGGUACACGAGCGGCGGACGGCUGAGUAACACGUAGGAACGUACCCCAAACUGAGGGAUAAGCACCAGAAAUGGUGUCUAAUACCGCAUGUGAUCUUCGGAUUAAAGCUUCGGCGGUUUGGGAACGGCCUGCGCAUGAUUAGCUUGUUGGUGAGGUAAUAGCUCACCAAGGCGACGAUCAUUAGCUGGUCUGAGAGGAUGAUCAGCCAGACUGGGACUGAGAACGGCCCAGACUCCUACGGGAGGCAGCAGUAGGGAAUUUUCCACAAUGGGCGAAAGCCUGAUGGAGCAACGCCGCGUGCAGGACGAAGGCCUUCGGGUUGUAAACUGCUUUAUAUGUGACGAUUAUGACGGUAGCAUAUGAAUAAGGAUCGGCUAACUCCGUGCCAGCAGCCGC
rnacentral:rRNA from 1 species